rfam:Gossypium raimondii Chr10_contig_1303, whole genome shotgun sequence.
AAUAAAAGAAUGGCAAAUCAGAUUUUUCCUCCUAAUUUUUAGCUUUCUCCUCAUGAAAAACGUUAAAUCCAACUAAAAAUGCUAAAAAUUAAGAGGAAAAAUAUGAUUUAUCAUUCUCCCAUU